UGGGGAAUUUUGGACAAUGGGCGAAAGCCUGAUCCAGCAAUGCCGCGUGUGUGAAGAAGGCCUUCGGGUUGUAAAGCACUUUUGUCCGGAAAGAAAUCCUCUGGGUUAAUACCUCGGGGGGAUGACGGUACCGGAAGAAUAAGCACCGGCUAACUACGUGCCAGCAGCCGCGGUAAUACGUAGGGUGCAAGCGUUAAUCGGAAUUACUGGGCGUAAAGCGUGCGCAGGCGGUUUUGUAAGACGGAUGUGAAAUCCCCGGGCUUAACCUGGGAACUGCAUUCGUGACUGCAAGGCUAGAGUAUGGCAGAGGGGGGUAGAAUUCCACGUGUAGCAGUGAAAUGCGUAGAGAUGUGGAGGAAUACCGAUGGCGAAGGCAGCCCCCUGGGCCAAUACUGACGCUCAUGCACGAAAGCGUGGGGAGCAAACAGGAUUAGAUACCCUGGUAGUCCACGCCCUAAAACGAUGUCAACUAGUUGUUGGGGAUUCAUUUCCUUAGUAACGUAGCUAACGCGUGAAGUUGACCGCCUGGGGAGUACGGUCGCAAGAUUAAAACUCAAAGGAAUUGAC
rnacentral:rRNA from 1 species